UAGGGAAUCUUCGGCAAUGGGGGCAACCCUGACCGAGCAACGCCGCGUGAGUGAAGAAGGUUUUCGGAUCGUAAAGCUCUGUUGUAAGAGAAGAACGUGUGUGAGAGUGGAAAGUUCACACAGUGACGGUAACUUACCAGAAAGGGACGGCUAACUACGUGCCAGCAGCCGCGGUAAUACGUAGGUCCCGAGCGUUGUCCGGAUUUAUUGGGCGUAAAGCGAGCGCAGGCGGGUUAAUAAGUCUGAAGUUAAAGGCAGUGGCUUAACCAUUGUUCGCUUUGGAAACUGUUAAACUUGAGUGCCGAAGGGGAGAGUGGAAUUCCAUGUGUAGCGGUGAAAUGCGUAGAUGUAUGGAGGAACACCGGUGGCGGAAGCGACUCUCUGGUCUGUAACUGACGCUGAGGCUCGAAAGCGUAGGGAGCAAACAGG
rnacentral:rRNA from 1 species